rnacentral:misc_RNA from 1 species
CAAACCUCAAGCUCUGCUUGGUGUUGGAGCCGUACGGUUGACCGUACUCUCCCAAUGACAGUGGCGGAUUCUCCCAAGACUCCGGGCGUAGUAGAGAUGCUUAGCCUUUGGACGUCUGGAGGGCUUCAGCCGUUAAACCCCCAACUUUUUCAA